CCCGACUCUUGAUGCCUCUCCUAAUAGACACAUAAUUUGCUUGAAUUAUGGUGAUAAUGACUAGCAUAUAUUGGACUUGCCGUGUGCGGGUGCUGUGUAGGCUUUACAUAGAUUGACUCCUCUCACCUCCCCACUCCUCUGUGAGGAGGGCACCAUCAUCUCCUUGAUUCGGAUGGAGACAGACAGGCACUGAGGGUUAAGUCAGUUGCACAUGGGGUGCAGUCGGGACUCUCCCCGGGAUUCCUACAGAAGAGGCUACAUCUGAACCACGACAGCACCUGCCCUGGACCACGCACACGUUACAUCAUCUACAGCGUAUGCCUUUCUUUAUGCCGCAGCCUCCAGCCCCUGCAGGGUGACUGAGCAGAGCAGAUGCUGCCACUCCCUCAGGUUCCCACAGUCAGCCUUGCUCUGGUUCACAUCCUGCCUCGCUGUGGCUGCUCCAUCUCCCCGUGGCUCCUCCUUCCCCUCCUGCCUGUCUGGGAGGACGUCCCAUUUCAGUUCCGGCUCCUUCGACUCAUCCAUCACUGUGUCUCUGAAGCCACAGCUCUGUUCUGGGGUCCUGGCAGAUGACAGUGGUGACAAAGAGGAAGCUCCUAGGCCCUAGGGAUGGGGCCCUCCUUCAGAGUCGCCCUCCUUGCCGAGAAGUGAUGCCUGGCCCUGGGAAAUGAACAGUGGCCUGGCCUGGUCAGGAAAGGCUGCAGCUCGUGGAACAGCCUGCAGACAAGCUACCCGGCUCCUGGUGGUCAUUUCCACAGCAGGAAGCUGCCUGGGAGCCCUAAAGCCAGUGGGUCUUCAGGUCCUUCAAGAUUUGCUGCCUCCUCACCCAGAACUGUGUGGUCCUGUGGCCUUUAGGCAACAGUCAAUGGAACUUUGGGGCAAUGAAGAAAAACAGGUGGUGCCCACUGUGGAACAGAGUGGGUCUACAAGAAAAGACAGCAGCUGGAGAAGGGAUAGUUGUGAACAAGAAGUGGUGGAGACUGGGAGAGAAAACGGAGGAUGAGGUUGAAGACACAGGAGAGAGAGAAAAAGUAGUAGAGAAACAGCCCUGAGAAGCAGGGACCGGAACCCAUGACAUCAAGGAAGGGCUCACCUUGCCCAGGAGGAAGGCCCUCUCUUCCUUGGCCCCUGUCUCAGAAAUUGGCACCACUAAUCUGAAUCCGCCCUCAUUUCCAGGCUUCCACGUAGGGCAUCCUAUCUGGGCGAACCAUUUUUCAGAUUUUUUCACUAUUGUCUGCCCUCUGCGCCUUAGUAAAAUAUGCCUGUCUUGUGUCCUAGUCCCUAAAGACUUUAUCUGCUUUGCUUCUCAUGAUGCCAACCAGCUAAAAAACAUAAUACCCUAGGACACACUGUCCAACACGGUAGCCACUGGCUGCACGUGGCUACUGAGCACUUGAAAUGUGGCUGGUCUGAGUUGAGGUGUGCCAUAAAUGCUUAAUGCACACAGAUUGUGAAGGUUUAGUGUGAAAAAAAUGUAAAAUAUCUCAAUAAUAUAUGGAUUAGUGUUGAAG
rnacentral:lncRNA from 1 species